rnacentral:rRNA from 1 species
UACGUAGGGUGCGAGCGUUGUCCGGAAUUAUUGGGCGUAAAGAGCUCGUAGGCGGUCUGUUGCGUCGGGAGUGAAAACUUACAGCUUAACUGUGAGCGUGCUUUCGAUACGGGCAGACUUGAGGCAUUCAGGGGAGAACGGAAUUCCUGGUGUAGCGGUGAAAUGCGCAGAUAUCAGGAGGAACACCGGUGGCGAAGGCGGUUCUCUGGGAAUGUCCUGACGCUGAGGAGCGAAAGUGUGGGGAGCAAACAGG